CGGCGUGCUGGUGGAGAUCUGGUCCGACAUCGUGUGCCCGUGGUGCUACAUCGGCAAGCGGCGGUUCGAGACCGCCCUCGCCGC
rnacentral:tRNA from 1 species